GGGGUGGAUAAGACAUGCAAGUCGAACGGGAGAAUUGCUAGCUUGCUAAUAAUUCUCUAGUGGCGCACGGGUGAGUAACACGUGAGUAACCUGCCCCCGAGAGCGGGAUAGCCCUGGGAAACUGGGAUUAAUACCGCAUAGUAUCGAAAGAUUAAAGCAGCAAUGCGCUUGGGGAUGGGCUCGCGGCCUAUUAGUUAGUUGGUGAGGUAACGGCUCACCAAGGCGAUGACGGGUAGCCGGUCUGAGAGGAUGUCCGGCCACACUGGAACUGAGACACGGUCCACACACCUACGGGUGGCAGCAGUCGAGAAUCAUUCACAAUGGGGGAAACCCUGAUGGUGCGACGCCGCGUGGGGGAAUGAAGGUCUUCGGAUUGUAAACCCCUGUCAUGUGGGAGCAAAUUAAAAAGAUAGUACCACAAGAGGAAGAGACGGCUAACUCUGUGCCAGCAGCCGCGGUAAUACAGAGGUCUCAAGCGUUGUUCGGAAUCACUGGGCGUAAAGCGUGCGUAGGCUGUUUCGUAAGUCGUGUGUGAAAGGCGCGGGCUCAACCCGCGGACGGCACAUGAUACUGCGAGACUAGAGUAAUGGAGGGGGAACCGGAAUUCUCGGUGUAGCAGUGAAAUGCGUAGAUAUCGAGAGGAACACUCGUGGCGAAGGCGGGUUCCUGGACAUUAACUGACGCUGAGGCACGAAGGCCAGGGGAGCGAAAGGGAUUAGAUACCCCUGUAGUCCUGGCAGUAAACGGUGCACGCUUGGUGUGCGGGGAAUCGACCCCCUGCGUGCCGGAGCUAACGCGUUAAGCGUGCCGCCUGGGGAGUACGGUCGCAAGAUUAAAACUCAAAGAAAUUGACGGGGACCCGCACAAGCGGUGGAGUAUGUGGCUUAAUUCGAUGCAACGCGAAGAACCUUACCUGGGCUUGACAUGUAAUGAACAACAUGUGAAAGCAUGCGACUCUUCGGAGGCGUUACACAGGUGCUGCAUGGCCGUCGUCAGCUCGUGUCGUGAGAUGUUUGGUUAAGUCCAGCAACGAGCGCAACCCCUGUUGCCAGUUACCAGCACGUGAAGGUGGGGACUCUGGCGAGACUGCCCAGAUCAACUGGGAGGAAGGUGGGGACGACGUCAGGUCAGUAUGGCCCUUAUGCCCAGGGCUGCACACGUACUACAAUGCCCAGUACAGAGGGGGCCGAAGCCGCGAGGCGGAGGAAAUCCUAAAAACUGGGCCCAGUUCGGACUGUAGGCUGCAACCCGCCUACACGAAGCCGGAAUCGCUAGUAAUGGCGCAUCAGCUACGGCGCCGUGAAUACGUUCCCGGGUCUUGCAAU
rnacentral:rRNA from 1 species